rnacentral:rRNA from 1 species
ACCUACGGGGGGCAGCAGUGGGGAAUAUUGCUCAAUGGGGGGAACCCUGAUGCAGCGACGCCGCGUGAGUGAAGAAGUAUUUCGGUAUGUAAAGCUCUGUCAGCAGGGAAGAAGAAAGACGGUACCUGACCAAGAAGCCCCGGCUAACUACGUGCCAGCAGCCGCGGUAAUACGUAGGAUGCGAGCGUUAUCCGGAUUUAUUGGGUUUAAAGGGUGCGCAGGCGGUCUGUUAAGUCAGCGGUCAAAGCCCGGGGCUCAACCCCGGCCCGCCGUUGAAACUGGCAGUCUCGGUUUGGAGGGAAGUG